ACACGCAAAGUUAGUGUAUUGUUUUCACUAGUGAAUUGUCUGCUAAAACUCCAUCCAUUUUUACUGUGUUUGGUGUUGAGAAGCAUUUUUUUUACCUACUAUUUCUUUCUAUUGUGGUGCUAAGUUGAUAAGAAUACUAAGUAUUAAGAUUGACAGUCAAUGACUUUGAUCAUGAAGUUUAGUUUGUUUGUGUAAAUUUGAUGACUUUGUUGACACCCUUACUAUUUUGUUUAAUGGCUUUGUUGAUCAUGAUUUCAGAAUGUGUUGACUGUUUACUGUGUACUCAGGUUUUUUGUUUUUAUUUCAAAAGGAUUAAGAAAGUGUUCGUGAAUUGGUAUCUCUACGUCUUCUAUUUCAAAAUUGUUUAAUUGGUUUUGUUUUCUUUUCAUUUUUUUUAGAAUUGGUUAACUUUUUAUUUGCAAAAGGAAAAGUUUGAAAGUGUGAACUCCAUAUGAUACAAUUUUUACUGAUUCCACCCAUUUUAUAGAAACAUUUUAAUUUUUUUUUGUUAGAUUUAAGAUAAAUAGAUUUAUCUUAAAAGGAGCAAUUUUUUUAAUAAAAAAUUGAAUAUGGAAGAGGAAACAUAAUAAAAUUAUGGUUGGCUUUCAACUCUAAGAAAGAUUUUAAAUUUGGUAAUAUUUUCAAAAUACAGUUGUUUCCUUCUACGGAAGUGUUAUGUGAUAAAUAUUAGUCAAACAAAUAUUGAAGUCAUUAUUUUUUAUAGAGUUGUAAAAUAUUGGUGGUUAUAUCUCCAAAAAGAAGAAAACACAAAUGUAUUUAAAGAAGUUAUGGAGAUGAGCUAUUUGCACCAUUAAAUAUAUACUUUUUGGUAAUUUAUGUAUUAGAAUGUUCUUCCGAAGUUGGAGUAGUUGAAUGUGGGUACUAUGUGAUGAGAUACAUCAAAGAUAUAAUCGUUAAUGGGAGCAUAGUAGUCAUAGAUUCGAUUGAUACAAGAAGUUCAUAUAGUCAAUUCAAGUUGGAUGAAGUGUGCAUGGAGCUUGCUGAUUUUUUGGGUGGCCACAUAUGAUUUUAUGGUGAAUUUUAUGGCCACAAGAAGUACAUAUAGAUAGACAAGCUUUUGUUGAUACAGGAUGUACAUAUGUGUGCUAUUUUGUUGAUAUACUUGGAUAUAUCUAGGUGAAUUAGGUUUAGUUGAUAUUUUUGUUGAUACGCUUAUAGUUAGGCUACACAUGGAUGGAAAGUUUAGGUGGAAAGUUUAAGCUGUUGUUAGAAAAGUUAGGCUAACUACAUGUAUGUAUAUGGUUCAUUGAUAUAUAUAUGUUAAAAUAUUUUUAGUUCUUUGAUGGAAAAAGUUUAGUUCAUUUAAUUA